rnacentral:rRNA from 1 species
AUUGAACGCUGGCGGCAGGCCUAACACAUGCAAGUCGAGCGGAUGAAGGGAGCUUGCUCCUGGAUUCAGCGGCGGACGGGUGAGUAAUGCCUAGGAAUCUGCCUGGUAGUGGGGGAUAACGUCCGGAAACGGGCGCUAAUACCGCAUACGUCCUGAGGGAGAAAGUGGGGGAUCUUCGGACCUCACGCUAUCAGAUGAGCCUAGGUCGGAUUAGCUAGUUGGUGGGGUAAAGGCCUACCAAGGCGACGAUCCGUAACUGGUCUGAGAGGAUGAUCAGUCACACUGGAACUGAGACACGGUCCAGACUCCUACGGGAGGCAGCAGUGGGGAAUAUUGGACAAUGGGCGAAAGCCUGAUCCAGCCCUGCCGCGUGUGUGAAGAAGGUCUUCGGAUUGUAAAGCACUUUAAGUUGGGAGGAAGGGCAGUAAGUUAAUACCUUGCUGUUUUGACGUUACCAAAAGAAUAAGCACCGGCUAACUUCGUG